rnacentral:rRNA from 1 species
AUUGAACGCUGGCGGCAUGCUUUACACAUGCAAGUCGAACGGUAACAGGUUAAGCUGACGAGUGGCGAACGGGUGAGUAAUGCAUCGGAACGUGCCCGAUCGUGGGGGAUAACGCAGCGAAAGCUGCGCUAAUACCGCAUACGAUCUGAGGAUGAAAGCGGGGGACCGUAAGGCCUCGCGCGAUCGGAGCGGCCGAUGUCAGAUUAGGUAGUGGGUGGGGUAAAGGCUCACCAGGCCAACGAUCUGUAGCUGGUCUGAGAGGACGACCAGCCAGACUGGGACUGAGACACGGCCCAGAAUACUACGGGAGGCAGCAGUGGGGAAUUUUGGACAAUGGGCGAAAGCCUGAUCCAGCAAUGCCGCGUGCAGGAAGAAGGCCUUCGGGUUGUAAACUGCUUUUGUACGGAGCGAAAGGCCCUCUCUAAUACAGUGGGCUCAUGACGGUACCGUAAGAAUAAGCACCGGCUAACUACGUGCCAGCCGCCGCGGUAA